rnacentral:rRNA from 1 species
CACGUAGGAGCCAAGCGUUAUCCGAAUUCACUGGGCGUAAAGCGCGUGCAGGCGGUCUGGUAAGUUGGAUGUGAAAUCUCCUGGCUCAACUAGGAGAGGACGUUCAAUACUGUCAGACUAGAGGGCGAUAGAGGAAGGUGGAAUUCCCGGUGUAGUGGUGAAAUGCGUAGAUAUCGGGAGGAACACCAGUGGCGAAAGCGGCCUUCUGGAUCGCAUCUGACGCUCAGACGCGAAAGCUAGGGGAGCGAACGGG